rnacentral:lncRNA from 1 species
GGCAGACGGGAGACUACAUCUUCUAUGUCAGGUAGCUUUUCGCUCAUCGCCAUUCUUGGGAAUUUUAGAGGUAAAUCCCUGUAACUACAAAUGUACUCUUAGGGCAUGUGAAAUAAUAAUUUGAAGUCAUCCUAUACAAUUAUAGAAAUGAAGUUCGAAGUUUUGUUUCGGUAUGUAAUUUUGAUUUUUAAGUUGUAUAUUUUUUUUCUCAUAAACAUAACAUUCUCAUAAGUAUCAAAAUUAUCCUAAUUUUUAUAUAUAGUCUUGUCAAUUUGAUUUUAAUUUGGUUGACAAAUGAAUUCAAUUUUUAAUGGGUUGAAAAUGAAUUUAGUUGAAAUGAGCGAGUCAAUAACUCCCCAGACUUGGACAAUAUAUGAGUGUUAAGGGAGACGGUAAGGAUGGUAGCUGCCCAACAGAGGGAGCUACUGAAACUCCUCGCACAACAAGACGACAGCAUAACGCUGAUCCAACAAACCUACUCUGCCAGGCGAUUGGAAGAUGAUAGGGACGGAGAUUGGGAGAUGACAGGUGAUGUCCGUCUGGAUGAAGUGUGUAUUCUCAAACCUGAGUUAACUUCAUCCUUUACUAAAUGCUGUUCAUCACUUAGUAAUGUCUAAGAUUACAAGUUAUAAUUGCAUGGAAGCUUGUUACAAUCAGGCAGGCUCAUUUGUCUGAAGAAGGUUUAGGCAGAAACAUAAAUAAUACUACGUUUACACGAUUGCAAGACUUGGCCUGUAAAAUAAUUAGUCAGAUCACCAAAAUUCAACUUUUCAAAUGCCUCUCUCCUGACAGUAUACAAAAUCAAAAUGCAAGUCUACUUCCACAACGUACUCUCCUUCUAUCACAGUGAUCUGAAAUAGUAUAGAACUACUUCUAUCUAUCACAGGUCUCUGUGGCUCAACUCAAAUUCUUUGACAAUCUAGCUAUUCCAUA